rnacentral:tRNA from 1 species
GCGGGUGUAGCUCAGUUGGUUAGAGCGUGACCUUGCCAAGGUUGAGGUAGCGGGUUCGAAUCCCGUCACCCGCU